UAGUCCUAGCCGUAAACGAUGGACACUAGUUGCUGGAUGAGUCAAUCCAUUCAGUGACGUAGCUAACGCGUUAAGUGUCCCGCCUGGGGAGUACGCUCGCAAGGGUGAAACUCAAAGGAAUUGACGGGGGGCCCGCACAAGCGGUGGAGCAUGUGCUUUAAUUCGAUGCAACGCGAAGAACCUUACCUGGUCUUGACAUGGGGGAGAAAGUUUUUGGAGACAGAAACCCUCUCUUCGGGGACUCCCUACACAGGUGCUGCAUGGUUGUCGUCAGCUCGUGUCGUGAGAUGUUGGGUUAAGUCCCGCAACGAGCGCAACCCCUAUCCUUAGUUGCCAUCAGGUUAAGCUGGGAACUCUAGGGAGACUGCCUGGUAUAACCAGGAGGAAGGUGGGGAUGACGUCAAAUCAUCAUGGCCCUUACGACCAGGGGCUAGACACGUGCUACAAUGGGAUGGGUACAGU
rnacentral:rRNA from 1 species